AUUGAACGCUGGCGGCAGGCUUAACACAUGCAAGUCGAGCGGAGCGAGGGUGCUUGCACCUUAGCUUAGCGGCGGACGGGUGAGUAAUGCUUAGGAAUCUGCCUAUUAGUGGGGGACAACAUUCCGAAAGGAAUGCUAAUACCGCAUACGCCCUACGGGGGAAAGCAGGGGAUCUUCGGACCUUGCGCUAAUAGAUGAGCCUAAGCCGGAUUAGCUAGUUGGGUGGGUAAAGGCCUCACAAGGCGACGAUCUGUAGCGGGUCUGAGAGGAUGAUCCGCGACACUGAGACUGAGACACGGCCCAGACUCCUUCGGGACGCAGCAGUGGGGAAUAUUGGACAAUGGGCGGAAGCCUGAUCUAGCCAUGCUGCGUGUGUGAAGAAGGCCUUUUGGUUGUAAAGCACUUUAAGCGAGGAGGAGGCUACCUGGAUUAAUACUCUAGGAUAGUGGACGUUACUCGCAGAAUAAGCACCGGCUAACUCUGUGCCAGCCGCCGCAGUAACAC
rnacentral:rRNA from 1 species